rnacentral:misc_RNA from 1 species
GGAGACACAUAAUCCCUAUCUCUUAUCCUCCGUCUAGGCGAGUAACCCUCAUCCCUAAUUCUCCGUGGAGAUGAGUAAUCCCUGUUCCUAUUCCUCUGUCGAGGCGAGUAACCACGAUCCUUUCUCCUUUCCGGCAACCGUGGUGGACCUCUAGCAUCUCCUCCAAAUCUCCUCUCCCCCCUCAUUAUCAACAAAAGACUAAACUUCAGCAAUUUCCAACCUAAAUCAACCCAAACUUCUACAGCAAACAACAGCUUCCCACUUUCAAUCUUCUUCUACUACUUGU